GCCGUACGCGCUCGCGCGUCUAGGUGAAACCGCGAAAGGCUCAUUAAAUCAGUUAUGGUUCCUUGGAUCGUACCGCUCAGUUACUUGGAUAACUGUGGUAAUUCUAGAGCUAAUACAUGCCGACAGAGUUCCGACCGUCUUCGCGGGCGGGAGGAACGCUUUUAUUAGAUCAAAACCCAUCGGGCUCGGUCGCUUGCGGCCGGUCCGACAACACUCGGUCCGCUUCGCGCGGGCCGACCAAGUGGUGACUCUGAAUAACUUUGUGCUGAUCGCACGGUCUCCGUACUGGCGAUGCAUCUUUCAAAUGUCUGCCUUAUCAACUGUCGAUGGUAGGUUAUGCGCCUACCAUGGUGGUAACGGGUGACGGGGGAUUAGGGUUCGAUCCCGGAGAGGGAGCCUGAGAAACGGCUACCACAUCCAAGGAAGGCAGCAGGCACGCAAAUUACCCACUCCCAGCUCAGGGGAGGUAGUGACGAAAUAUAACGAUACGGGACUCAUCCGAGGCCUCGUAAUCGGAAUGAGUACACUCUAAAACGUUUAA
rnacentral:rRNA from 1 species